rnacentral:rRNA from 1 species
CAGUCGCCGCGGGAAUACGGAGGGGGCUAGCGUUGUUCGGAAUCACUGGGCGUAAAGCGCACGUAGGCGGCUUGGUAAGUUAGAGGUGAAAGCCCGGGGCUCAACCUCGGAGUUGCAUCCGAUACUACCAUGCUAGAGUACUGAAGAGGUGACUAGAAUUCUCGGUGUAGCAGUGAAAUGCGUAGAUAUCGAGAGGAAUACCAAAGGCGAAGGCAGGUCACUGGGCAGUUACUGACACUGAGGCACGAAGGCUAGGGGAGCAAACGGGAUUAGAUACCCGAGUAGUCCCUGUCUCUUAUAC